GCGAUCAUGGCCGAGUGGUUAAGGCGAGGGUCUUAAGUAUAUUUUGCUGAAUUCAUCCCUUGACGCAAGUCGCGUGGGUUCGAACCCCACUGGUCGCA